rnacentral:rRNA from 1 species
GGUCAAAUGAAUUAAGGCGUAUGGCGGAGACCUAGGCACUCAGAGACGAUGAAGGGCGCAGAUACCGGCGAAACGCUUCGGGGAGCUGGCAACAAGCUUUGAUCCGAAGAUUCCCGAAUAGGGCAACCUAUUAAACUUCCUAUACAAUUCAUAUUUAGGAAAGAGAGAACCCAGUGAACUGAAACAUCUAAGUAGCUGGAGGAAAAGAAAGCAAAAGCGAUUCCCGUAGUAGCGGCGAGCGAACUGGGAUCAGCCUAAACCUGGGUAGAAAUACUCCGGUGUAGUGGGAAGACGCAGCUUUAUCUUGCCAUCGCCAGCGUUAGCAGGCUUCUCACCGUAAAGGUGAGAAGGGCUGCUUUGCCGACCGUAAAAGUGAGGCAAGAUAAAGCAAAAUAAAGAAAAAACUAUCUUUUUUUUUUCAUAUAAAAAAAGAAAACUGAAUCAGGCGAAGCAGCUGAAUCCUGUACCAUAGACGGUGAAAGUCCGGUAGCUCAUAUUAGAGUUUUUUCUUGUCAAAUCCCGAGUAGCAUGGGACACGUGAAAUCCCGUGUGAAUCUGCGAGGACCACCUCGUAAGGCUAAAUACUCCUGAGUGACCGAUAGCGAAAUAGUACCGCGAGGGAAUGGUGAAAAGAACCCCUGUGGGGGAGUGAAAUAGAACAUGAAACCGUACGCUGACAAGCAGUGGGAGGUCCGUAAGGGCUGACCGCGUGCCUAUUGAAGAAUGAGCCGGCGACUUAUAGGGAGUGGCUUGGUUAAGGAGUUUAAUCCGGAGCCGAAGCGAAAGCAAGUCUGAAUAGGGCAAAUAUAGUCACUUCUUAUGGACCCGAACCCGGGUGAUCUAAUCAUGACCAGAUUGAAGCAUGGGUCACACCUUGUGGAGGAUCGAACACACCAAUGUUGAAAAAUUGGGUGAUGAGUUGUGAUUAGGGGAGAAAUUCCAAUCGAACUCGGAGCUAGCUGGAUCUCCCCGAAAUGCGUUGAGGCGCAGCGGUAACGAUGAGCUGUCUAGGGGUAAAGCGACUGUUUCGAUGCGGGCUGCGAAAGCGGUACCAAGUCGUGGCAAACUCAGAAUACUAGGCAAAGCCUUCCGUGAACCAGUGAGUGAUGGGGCGAUAAGGUUCUGUCACAAAAGGGAAACAGCCCAGAUCACCAGCUAAGGCCCCAAAAUGGUCACUAAGUGGAAAAGGAUGUGAGAAUGCUAAAACAACUAGAAAGUUCGCUUAGAAGCAGCUACCCUUUAAAGAGUGCGUAAUAGCUCACUAGUAAAGCGUUCUUGCGCCGACAAUGGCCGGGACUAAGUGACCUGCCGAAGCUGUGGUAUAUUUAAUUUUUAGACUUACCUUUGCUUCAUAAAGUCGCAUCUGCGACUCUUGCUUUUGCUCUUGUCCUCACCCUAAAGGGUUAGGGCAUAGACCAUGGGACUCUUGUCCUAAUUAUGUGCUUCGCACAUAAUGGGAUGAAGUAUAAGUCAAAUUUUAAAAAUAGGUAGGGGAGCGUUCUACUUUGGGUGAAGUCUUUAUGGAAAUGAGGAUGGACAGAGUAGAAGUGAGAAUGUUGGCUUGAGUAACGAAAACAUUGGUGAGAAUCCAAUGCCCCGAAAACCUAAGGGUUCCUCCACUAGGUUCGUCCGUGGGGGGUGAGUCAGGACCUAAGGCGAGGCCGAAAGGCGUAGUCGAUGGCAAACAGGUUAAUAUUCCUGUACUUAUUCUAUUAUUGAACAGGGGGACGAAGGAGGCUAAGCUAGGUCUGUUUCUGGAUUGCAGUGGAAGCGUUUAGGUGUUGAUAGGUAGAAAAAAAGCUAUCCUUGAGCUAAGACGUGAUCCCUAAAAAUGGCUUCGGUUGUUUUUAGCUAGUGAUGCCAAACUUCCAAGAAAAGCUCUUACGAUUUAGGUAGAAUGACCUGUACCUGAAACCGACACAGGUAGGUUAGUAGAGAAUACUAAGGGGCGCGAGAGAACUCUCUCUAAGGAACUCGGCAAAUUGGCCCCGUAACUUCGGAAGAAGGGGCGCCUUCGUUUGUCAGCAACAGCUGGCGAAAAAAGGUCGCAGUGACCAGGCCCAAGCAACUGUUUAUCAAAAACACAGGUCUCCGCAAAGUCGUAAGACAAUAUAUGGGGGCUGACGCCUGCCCAGUGCUGGAAGGUUAAGGAAGUUGGUUAGGGUGUAAACUUGAAGCUGACAACCGAAGCCCCAGUGAACGGCGGUCGUAACUAUAACGAUCCUAAGGUAGCGAAAUUCAUUGUCAAGUAAGUUUUGACCCGCACGAAAGGCGUAAUGAUUUGGGCACUGUCUCGGAGAGAGGCUCGGUGAAAUAGACUUGUUCGUGAAGAUGCGGACUACCUACACCUGGACAGAAAGACCCUAUGAAGCUUGACUGUAUCCUGGAAUUGGGUUCGGGCUUUUCUUGCGCAGCCUAGGUGGGAGGCUAUGAAGAAUUCCUUCUGGGGAAUUUGGAGCCAUCAUUGAGAGACCACUCUAGAAGAGCUAGAAUCCUAAUGGCGAUCCUUGAAUCAGGACGCUUGACAAUUUCAGGUGGGCAGUUUUUUUGGGGCGAAAACCUCCUAAAAGGUAACGGAGGUGUGCAAAGGUUCCCUCAGCCUGGACGGAAAUCAGGCAUUGAGUGUAAAAGCAAAAGGGAGCUUGACUGCAAGACCUACAAGUCGAGCAGGGGCGAAAGCCGGCUUUAGUGAUCCGACGGUACCGUGUGGAAGGGCCGUCGCUCAACGGAUAAAAGUUACUCUAGGGAUAACAGGCUGAUCUUCCCCAAGAGUCCACAUCGACGGGAAGGUUUGGCACCUCGAUGUCGGCUCAUCACAUCCUCGGUCUGCAGUAGGUCCGAAGGGUUGGGCUGUUCGCCCAUUAAAGUGGUACGUGAGCUGGGUUCAAAACGUCGUGAGACAGUUUGGUCCAUAUCCGGUGUAAGCGUUGGAACAUUGAGGAAAGCUUUUCCUAGUACGAGAGGAUUGGAAAGGACAUGCCUAUGGUGUACCUGUUAUCACUCCAGUGGUAAACGCAGGGUAGCUACGCAUGGUUUGAUUAGCGCUGACAGCAUAUAAGUGCGAAACAGAUUCCAAGAUGAGUGUUCCCCAUUAAGCCGCGCGUAGACAAUGCGAUUGAUAGGUAUUACGUGUAAGAGCAGCAAUGCUUUAAGCUGAGAUAUACUAAAGGCUGAUUGAUUUUGACC